CAGUAGCCGCGGUAAUACGUAGGUCCCGAGCGUUGUCCGGAUUUAUUGGGCGUAAAGCGAGCGCAGGCGGUUUGAUAAGUCUGAAGUUAAAGGCUGUGGCUCAACCAUAGUUCGCUUUGGAAACUGUCAAACUUGAGUGCAGAAGGGGAGAGUGGAAUUCCAUGUGUAGCGGUGAAAUGCGUAGAUAUAUGGAGGAACACCGGUGGCGAAAGCGGCUCUCUGGUUUGUAACUGACGCUGAGGCUCGAAAGCGUGGGGAGCGAACAGGAUUAGAUACCCCCGUAGUCCCUGUCUCUUAUACA
rnacentral:rRNA from 1 species